AUGCUGGAGGUAUCAGAAGUGCGAAUGCUGACAUAAGUAACGAUAAAGCGGGUGAAAAGCCCGCUCGCCGGAAGACCAAGGGUUCCUGUCCAACGUUAAUCGGGGCAGGGUGAGUCGACCCCUAAGGCGAGGCCGAAAGGCGUAGUCGAUGGGAAACAGGUUAAUAUUCCUGUACUUGGUGUUACUGCGAAGGGGGGACGGAGAAGGCUAUGUUGGCCGGGCGACGGUUGUCCCGGUUUAAGCGUGUAGGCUGGUUUUCCAGGCAAAUCCGGAAAAYYAAGGCUGAGGCGUGAUGACGAGGCACUACGGUGCUGAAGCAACAAAUGCCCUGCUUCCAGGAAAAGCCUCUAAGCAUCAGGUAACAUCAAAUCGUACCCCAAACCGACACAGGUGGUCAGGUAGAGAAUACCAAGGCGCUUGAGAGAACUCGGGUGAAGGAACUAGGCAAAAUGGUGCCGUAACUUCGGGAGAAGGCACGCUGAUAUGUAGGUGAAGUCCCUCGCGGAUGGAGCUGAAAUCAGUCGAAGAUACCAGCUGGCUGCAACUGUUUAUUAAAAACACAGCACUGUGCAAACACGAAAGUGGACGUAUACGGUGUGACGCCUGCCCGGUGCCGGAAGGUUAAUUGAUGGGGUYAGCGCAAGCGAAGCUCUUGAUCGAAGCCCCGGUAAACGGCGGCCGUAACUAUAACGGUCCUAAGGUAGCGAAAUUCCUUGUCGGGUAAGUUCCGACCUGCACGAAUGGCGUAAUGAUGGCCAGGCUGUCUCCACCCGAGACUCAGUGAAAUUGAACUCGCUGUGAAGAUGCAGUGUACCCGCGGCAAGACGGAAAGACCCCGUGAACCUUUACUAUAGCUUGACACUGAACAUUGAGCCUUGAUGUGUAGGAUAGGUGGGAGGCUUKGAAGUGUGGACGCCAGUCUGCAUGGAGCCGACCUUGAAAUACCACCCUUUAAUGUUUGAUGUUCUAACGUUGACCCGUAAUCCGGGUUGCGGACAGUGUCUGGUGGGUAGUUUGACUGGGGCGGUCUCCUCCUAAAGAGUAACGGAGGAGCACGAAGGUUGGCUAAUCCUGGUCGGACAUCAGGAGGUUAGUGCAAUGGCAUAAGCCAGCUUGACUGCGAGCGUGACGGCGCGAGCAGGUGCGAAAGCAGGUCAUAGUGAUCCGGUGGUUCUGAAUGGAAGGGCCAUCGCUCAACGGAUAAAAGGUACUCCGGGGAUAACAGGCUGAUACCGCCCAAGAGUUCAUAUCGACGGCGGUGUUUGGCACCUCGAUGUCGGCUCAUCACAUCCUGGGGCUGAAGUAGGUCCCAAGGGUAUGGCUGUUCGCCAUUUAAAGUGGUACGCGAGCUGGGUUUAGAACGUCGUGAGACAGUUCGGUCCCUAUCUGCCGUGGGCGCUGGAGAACUGAGGGGGGCUGCUCCUAGUACGAGAGGACCGGAGUGGACGCAUCACUGGUGUUCGGGUUGUCAUGCCAAUGGCACUGCCCGGUAGCUAAAUGCGGAAGAGAUAAGUGCUGAAAGCAUCUAAGCACGAAACUUGCCCCGAGAUGAGUUCUCCCUGACUCCUUGAGAGUCCUGAAGGAACGUUGAAGACGACGACGUUGAUAGGCCGGGUGUGUAAGCGCAGCGAUGCGUUGAGCUAACCGGUACUAAUGAACCGUGAGGCUUAACCUUACAACGCCGAAG
rnacentral:rRNA from 1 species